UACGAAGGGGCUAGCGCUGCUCGGAAUCACUGGGCGUAAAGCGCACGUAGGCGGACUCUUAAGUCGGUGGUGAAAUCCUGGAGCUCAACUCCAGAACUGCCUUCGAUACUGAGAGUCUUGAGUCCGGGAGAGGUGAGUGGAACUGCGAGUGUAGAGGUGAAAUUCGUAGAUAUUCGCAAGAACACCAGUGGCGAAGGCGGCUCACUGGCCCGGUACUGACGCUGAGGUGCGAAAGCGUGGGGAGCAAACAGG
rnacentral:rRNA from 1 species